GGACGGAAUUGGUAGCUGGCUUUUAUUCCACCCUCCCUCUCCACUUUCAUUCAAUAAGGUUCAAUUUGAAAAUGGUCUGGUUUGUAUCCUUAAUAUAUGAACGUGCAGGUGCUUCUAAUCACCGAGGCGGCGUGCGCACACGCUGCCACAACGCGAAACGUCGCGAUUUAUCGCUUGCAUUUGCGUGAUGUUUUCCAGCGCUGAUUGCUUGGACGUGUGAUUUCACAGGCCCGCGCCUCCAUCUGUAUACACCAUUUUCUCUAAGUAUUGAACAUUUUCAUCUUUCUUCAAUACGAGCUAAUUGGAUUAAGUUUGAGCAAUAUUCAUAGUGGCGCGCAUUGUGCCAGGCGGCUGUUUUAUGGCUCCGCCGCGCGCUGUCAGCCUCGUGUUCCUGCCGUCAUCAACGCACUAAGGACCACAUCAACCAUCCCCUCUCAUUCUCAGCAAGCCUGCUGGGUUUCCCCCGCAAGAAAACCAACCGAUUCUCUGUGGAAUCGUGCUAAAUUAACCAAAUUUACAGCUUAGCACUUAAGGAUCUCCUUAGUCGGCAGUGGUGACUAGGAACUCUUUGAAGUGGAAGAGUGGCUGCCGUCUGGAUGAUGACAUCACGACAUGCCUGUCUUAGCUCAGGAACAUGAACCUCUGGUGAUGUAGAUUAUAUUCAGGAUGCCAGCUGGCAGACAGAUGGUGGUGGCUUUACACGUUUUUAUUUAAAGACACAUCAGAAGGAAGAGGAGGGUGAGGCAAGAGAACAGCUGUAGUGAGUGGGACAGGACGGCAUUUGCUGGUCAAAGCGAUGAGCUGCACAAGGAAAGAAAAGAAUGAAAAACAAGCCUUGCAGAGAACUACAAACUUUCUCCAAAUGUGUUUGUUCCCUAAAUACAGCUCAAUGAUAGAGA
rnacentral:lncRNA from 1 species